AAGUCGUAACAAGGUCUCCGUUGGUGAACCAGCGGAGGGAUCAUUACCGAGUUCAUGCCCUCACGGGUAGAUCUCCCACCCUCUGUAUACCAUACCUUUGUUGCUUUGGCGGCCCGCAUACUCUGUCUCAGCGUGUUGGCAUCUCCGAGUAUUAUACAAACGAGUCAAAACUUUCAACAACGGAUCUCUUGGUUCUG
rnacentral:misc_RNA from 1 species